GAUGAACGCUGGCGGCGUGCUUAACACAUGCGAGUCGAACGGAAAGGCCCAAGCUUGCUUGGGUACUCGAGUGGCGAACGGGUGAGUAACACGUGGGUGAUCUGCCCUGCACUUCGGGAUAAGCCUGGGAAACUGGGUCUAAUACCGGAUAGGACGAUGGUUUGGAUGCCAUUGUGGAAAGUUUUUUCGGUGUGGGAUGAGCUCGCGGCCUAUCAGCUUGUUGGUGGGGUAAUGGCCUACCAAGGCGUCGACGGGUAGCCGGCCUGAGAGGGUGUACGGCCACAUUGGGACUGAGAUACGGCCCAGACUCCUACGGGAGGCAGCAGUGGGGAAUAUUGCACAAUGGGCGCAAGCCUGAUGCAGCGACGCCGCGUGGGGGAUGACGGCCUUCGGGUUGUAAACUCCUGUCGCUAGGGACGAAGCGUUUUUGUGACGGUACCUGGAGAAGAAGCACCGGCUAACUACGUG
rnacentral:rRNA from 1 species